UUUAUAUUGGUGCGGGAAGCAGCAGUGAGGAAUUUUUCACAAUGGACGAAAGUCUGAUGGAGCAAUACCACGUGAACGAUGAAGGUCUUCUGAUUGUAAAGUUCUUUUAUUUAGGAAAAAAAGCGCGCUAGGAAAUGAGCGCGCCUUGAUGGUACUAAUUGAAUAAGUGACAGCUAACUAUGUGCCAGC
rnacentral:rRNA from 1 species